GAGUUUGAUUAUGGCUCAGAGUGAACGCUGGCGGCGUGCCUAAUACAUGCAAGUCGAACGGUAACAGGAAGUAGCUUGCUACUUUGCUGAUUAGUGGCGCACGGGUGAGUAAUGCAUAGGUCAUGUGCCCCAUAGUCUGGGAUAGCCACUGGAAACGGUGAUUAAUACUGGAUACUCCCGAGAGGGGAAAGUUUUUCGCUAUGGGAUCAGCCUAUGUCCUAUCAGCUUGUUGGUGAGGUAAUGGCUCACCAAGGCUAUGACGGGUAUCCGGCCUGAGAGGGUGAACGGACACACUGGAACUGAGACACGGUCCAGACUCCUACGGGAGGCAGCAGUAGGGAAUAUUGCUCAAUGGGGGAAACCCUGAAGCAGCAACGCCGCGUGGAGGAUGAAGGUCUUCGGAUUGUAAACUCCUUUUCUAAGAGAAGAUUAUGACGGAUCUUAGGAAU
rnacentral:rRNA from 1 species